CAGCCGCGUAAUUCCAGCUCCAAUAGCGUAUAUUAAAGUUGUUGCAGUUAAAAAGCUCGUAGUUGAACUUCGGGAUCAAUUAGUUGGUCAUGCCUUGGUAUGUACUGAUUUUAUUGGUUCUCACCUUCUAAAGAACUAUAAUGUCAUUUAUUUGAUGUUAUAGGGAAUUAGGACUGUUACCUUGAAAAAAUUAGAGUGUUUAAAGCAGGCUCACGCUUGAAUACAUUAGCAUGGAAUAAUGAAAUAGGACAUCGCAUUCUAUUUUGUUGGUUUCUAGGAUCGAUGUAAUGAUUAAUAGGGAUAGUUGGGGGCAUUAGUAUUCAAUUGUCAGAGGUGAAAUUCUUGGAUUUAUUGAAGACUAACUACUGCGAAAGCAUUUGCCAAGGAUGUUUUCAUUAAUCAAGAACGAAAGGUAGGGGAUCGAAGACGAUCAGAUACCGUCGUAGUCUUAACCAUAAACUAUGCCGACUAGGGAUCGGAUGAUGUUGAUUUUUUAAUGACUCAUUCGGCACCUUACG
rnacentral:misc_RNA from 1 species